rnacentral:rRNA from 1 species
UACGUAGGGUCCAAGCGUUGUCCGGAAUUAUUGGGCGUAAAGAGCUCGUAGGCGGCGUGUCGCGUCGGAUGUGAAAGCCCGGGGCUUAACUCCGGGUCUGCAUUCGGUACGGGCAUGCUGGAGUUCGGUAGGGGAGACUGGAAUUCCUGGUGUAGCGGUGAAAUGCGCAGAUAUCAGGAGGAACACCGGUGGCGAAGGCGGAUCUCUGGGCCUUACCUGACGCUGAGGCGCGAAAGCUAGGGGAGCGAACAGG